ensembl:lincRNA 9330111N05Rik RIKEN cDNA 9330111N05 gene
GCUGCGGAUCCUGGACGUCACCCGCUCUGGCCCGUGCGUGCGGCGGGUGAGUGGCCCCGGGGUCUCCGCGAGCCGAGGCGCUGGGACGCCCUUCCUGACAGCCGGUCUCCCGGCACGUAGCGCUCGCCUGACUCAGCGCUGAGUCACCGCUCCCUCGGACUCCGGCUUCGCCUUGCACAGCCAGAGGCUGCCGGGCUCCGUGCACGCCGAGGCCGAGCCCUCAGUGCCGCAGACCGGUCUCUGCGCUUCCCGGAGCAGCGCAGGGUUUACAGCUUUUGAAUCCCGACCAAGCCCAGCACUAACUUCCUGCGUUGUUUUCUUUGCCUUAAGGGCUGACUAGUCUAGGGAUCAAAUUCUUCCAUCGAAGCUUGUUGGCGCAAAUCCCCGGCUUUGUCCUUGAACAGUGACUUUGAGAUGACCUUCGUUUGGAUUUUUUUAAUACUUCCGCGGUUCCAAACUUCUGUCUUAUUUAUGCCCUCCGUUUCCUAAGGUUAUCUUUUCAGUGUGUUUGGUAACUAAUCUUGUCAUAAAGCCACACUGCGGUGACGCAAGUCAGGUUGGAAUCUGGCAUGGUGUACAGGCAGUGACUUACUGUAAAAUCCAGGGCCUUCAUCGCGACAUCCUAUCUGUCAUCUCAGGCGCUGAUUAGCUGCCUUGCCCUUGGAGAGGUCCCGGGGAUUUAGAAGGCCUGUUGAAAUCUGUCUUUAUAGCGGCCAUGUUUCUUGCUUCCUCCUCGGAGUUUAAAAUGAAGAGAACGAUAGAUAAGCAUUUCUGCAAACGUAGCUUGGACCACCUGUCCCAGAAGCACAAUUUUACUCCAAACUGCAGCUGCAGAAUGUCCUGAAUAAAACUAGAAACCGGCCACCUGCCAGUGAAACACGUGAUCAGCAAAGCCUACCAGAGGAUAGGAGGGAAGCAGUUUUCCUAGACUGAACACACAGACCACGUUGGUUCUGGUGUUCUUAUUCAUCUUUCUGUCUAAAAUACUGGAAAGGUAAAAUGCGGAUCGGCCACAUAAAAUAUCAGCGUACUGUUAUAGUGAUAGCCAUUUACAUCGCUGUUGAUAUGGUAGAUGGAACUGAAGGCCUGAUGCUCUAAUCAGACACUGCGCUGCACAGCUAUAGCCUCAGCAGGAAGUUGUUCCGACUUCUGAUCCCUGGAUAUUUUCAUUUCCCUGGGAAACUCUUCCAGCUUCAUCUUUGCUAGCAUUGGAGCAAACUCCCCAACAAGCCCUUGUUGGUCCAGCAACCCAGCAUCACAAAGUAGCUCAUAAGAAGCACAGGCUCUCAGAGCUGCUGACGCAGCAAAGUUGGAGGAGUGCUUGCCUAGUAUGCUUGAAGACUGGAGUGGAGGAAGGGAGAACAGAAGUUCAAAAUCAUCCUCCGCUGCGUCCUUAGAGCCUAGAAUCUCAGACUCCAUCCAAAAUUGGCAUGUUUACGAGGUCUCUUUAUAUCGCGAACUUGGGAAGAACUGAUCAGUGGGCUGGCAGAGCUUGGACCCCCAAGUGGAGCAUGCCUCCAUUGUUUGUGAGUUCUGUCUCAGCUCAGAGUGGAUGGGCGCACAGUUCCAGGGGAGCAAGGAUGUGUGCAACAGAAACUAGUGUUAGCCACUCUUGUUCAUCUAGGUGGAUCAUCUCCAGAGACUGAAGAUAUCAGCAGGGCCUAGGAUAUCUGGGUGGCUCCUUCUCCUUCUGCUCCCAGCCCCAAAUCUAACCCUUCAAUAAGGUUACUGGGGAGAAGGUUAAGCCCAUUUAUUUACUUUCUGUAGAUGACUGGUCCGUUUCCUCAGACACACACACAUCACUCUGUAAAUUAACACAUCAUGAAUACUUAAACAGUGAAUCUGCUUUUUGGAGACUUGUCAAAAAACAUGUUAAAAAAACUGCUAAACUAAAAAUCAAAUUUUGACUUAUGAUGUUUCCAAAGAAAAUCAGCUUCUGAAAUGAACUUGUGAGAAAAUAACCAACCAGCAACCCUCUGUCCUUCCCUGGUUAAUGAAACAGGGGAGGCUGCUGUGGGAAGAGGAAAUCAUCCGGGAACUCCAGACAGGGAAGAAGGCUACAUUCUUACCGAGUGGCUUGCAUUAGCAUUGCUGUGGCCUCGGCACACUGUUACAUUGGGGAGAAGAUGUUAAAGUAGAUCUUCAAUGGUUCUUGCUCUUUUUGCUGCAUACCUCACAAUCAUGCAUUGGAAUAGACAGAGGCAGCACUAGGAAAUGUCACCUAUACUUUUCAAUUACAAAGGACAUGAAUUUCAGAGGGAGUUGUUAUCCAUAAAGAUAGUAGUAGAACAUUCUAAAUUACUUUUACCUUAAACUUUAAUCUAGAUUGGGUUCAACAACUCAUCUGGUAAAGAAAGUCAUUUGCCACCAAGUCUGACAAUAUAAGUUUAAGUCUUAAAACCCCAUACACAAAAAACAAACAAACAAAUAAAC